AUGAAGCGGUCUGGAAAGGCCCGCCAAAGACGGUAACAGCCCGGUAGUUGAAAUGGCUUUCCCUCCAGAGUGGAUCCUGAGUACGGCGGAACACGUGAAAUUCCGUCGGAAUCCGGGAGGACCAUCUCCCAAGGCUAAAUACUCCCUAGUGACCGAUAGUGAACCAGUACCGUGAGGGAAAGGUGAAAAGCACCCCGGAAGGGGAGUGAAACAGUUCCUGAAACCGUGUGCCUACAAGUAGUUAGAGCCCGUUAAUGGGUGAUAGCGUGCCUUUUGUAGAAUGAACCGGCGAGUUACGAUUUGUUGCAAGGUUAAGCGGAAAAAGCGGAGCCGUAGCGAAAGCGAGUCUGAAUAGGGCGCAUAAGUAACAGGUCGUAGACCCGAAACCAGGUGAUCUACCCAUGUCCAGGAUGAAGGUAAGGUAAUACUUACUGGAGGUCCGAACCCACGCACGUUGAAAAGUGCGGGGAUGAGGUGUGGGUAGCGGAGAAAUUCCAAUCGAACUUGGAGAUAGCUGGUUCUCUCCGAAAUAGCUUUAGGGCUAGCCUCGAGGUAAAGAGUCAUGGAGGUAGAGCACUGUUUGGACUAGGGGCCCUUCUCGGGUUACCGAAUUCAGAUAAACUCCGAAUGCCAUGUACUUAUACUCGGGAGUCAGACUGCGAGUGAUAAGAUCCGUAGUCGAAAGGGAAACAGCCCAGACCACCAGUUAAGGUCCCCAAAUAUAUGUUAAGUGGAAAAGGAUGUGGGGUUGCUUAGACAACCAGGAUGUUGGCUUAGAAGCAGCCACCAUUGAAAGAGUGCGUAAUAGCUCACUGGUCGAGUGACCCCGCGCCGAAAAUGUACCGGGGCUAAACAUAUUACCGAAACUGUGGAUGAACCUCUUUAGAGGUUCGUGGUAGGAGAGCGUUCUAAGGGCGGUGAAGUCAGACCGGAAGGACUGGUGGAGCGCUUAGAAGUGAGAAUGCCGGUAUGAGUAGCGAAAGAAGGGUGAGAAUCCCUUCCACCGAAUAUCUAAGGUUUCCUGAGGAAGGCUCGUCCGCUCAGGGUUAGUCGGGACCUAAGCCGAGGCCGAUAGGCGUAGGCGAUGGACAACAGGUAGAGAUUCCUGUACCAGUGCUAAUUGUUUAACCGAUGGGGUGACACAGAAGGAUAGGGAAUCGCACGAAUGGAAAUGUGCGUCCAAGCAGUGAGUGUGAGAAGUAGGCAAAUCCGCUUCUCGCGAAGCAUGAGCUGUGAUGGGGAAGGAAAUUAAGUACGGAAGUUCCUGAUUUCACGCUGUCAAGAAAAGCCUCUAGGAAGAGUAGUACUGCCCGUACCGCAAACCGACACAGGUAGAUGAGGAGAGAAUCCUAAGGUGAGCGAGAGAACUCUCGUUAAGGAACUCGGCAAAAUGACCCCGUAACUUCGGGAGAAGGGGUGCUCUAUUAGGGUGCAAGCCCGAGAGAGCCGCAGUGAAUAGGCCCAGGCGACUGUUUAGCAAAAACACAGGUCUCUGCAAAACCGUAAGGUGACGUAUAGGGGCUGACGCCUGCCCGGUGCUGGAAGGUUAAGAGGAGUGCUUAGCUUCGGCGAAGGUACGAAUUGAAGCCCCAGUAAACGGCGGCCGUAACUAUAACGGUCCUAAGGUAGCGAAAUUCCUUGUCGGGUAAGUUCCGACCCGCACGAAAGGCGCAACGAUCUGGGCACUGUCUCAACGAGAGACUCGGUGAAAUUAUAGUACCUGUGAAGAUGCAGGUUACCCGCGACAGGACGGAAAGACCCCGUGGAGCUUUACUGCAACCUGAUAUGGAAUGUUUGUACCGCUUGUACAGGAUAGGUAGGAGCCGAAGAGACGUGUGCGCUAGCAUACGAGGAGGCAAUGGUGGGAUACUACCCUGGCUGUAUGACCAUUCUAACCCGCCACGCUUAGCGCGUGGGGAGACAGUGUCAGGUGGGCAGUUUGACUGGGGCGGUCGCCUCCUAAAGAGUAACGGAGGCGCCCAAAGGUUCCCUCAGAAUGGAUGGAAAUCAUUCGCAGAGUGUAAAGGCACAAGGGAGCUUGACUGCGAGACUGACAAGUCGAGCAGGGACGAAAGUCGGGCUUAGUGAUCCGGUGGUUCCGCAUGGAAGGGCCAUCGCUCAACGGAUAAAAGCUACCCCGGGGAUAACAGGCUUAUCUCCCCCAAGAGUCCACAUCGACGGGGAGGUUUGGCACCUCGAUGUCGGCUCGUCGCAUCCUGGGGCUGUAGUCGGUCCCAAGGGUUGGGCUGUUCGCCCAUUAAAGCGGCACGCGAGCUGGGUUCAGAACGUCGUGAGACAGUUCGGUCCCUAUCCGUCGCGGGCGCAGGAAAUUUGAGAGGAGCUGUCCUUAGUACGAGAGGACCGGGAUGGACACACCGCUGGUGUACCAGUUGUUCCGCCAGGAGCAUCGCUGGGUAGCUAUGUGUGGCAGGGAUAAACGCUGAAAGCAUCUA
rnacentral:rRNA from 1 species